rnacentral:lncRNA from 1 species
UAUACAAAUAUAAAAAGUUUCAUUAAAGUUGCCACCAUUUUCCGACGGCCAUUCAGUUUCCCACCGUCACAAUUAAGUUAUCACAUCUAGGGUUCUGAUUCUGAACUUUGCUCCCUAAAAUCCCCAAAAUCUCUAGAACCAUCACUUCCGCUCCACCAUCACCAAUCGAAUCAUCCUCUACUCCACCUCAUUGUCGAUGAUCCAAAACCCUAAUCGCUCCCAAAAAUGGCAACCGUUGGACUUCAGCAACGAGCAAAUGAUUUCUUAGGGUUCGGUUUGUUGGGAACUAUGACUAACGUCUUGUUAUUCUUAAUCGAAGUUUUGUAGAUGAUACAAAAAAUAAACAAAGCUUUGAGCGCAGAUGAUUCUGACUAAACGAUCUCACAGGAAGUUUUUCAUGAUUUUCGCUUGGAUUUCAAAAGGGAUGUUGUCUGACAUCUUGAUCUUGAUUAUGAACGAUGCUUAAUAUUUAGGGUUUACGAAGGGAAUAUAUAGGGGAUGGUUGUGUAUUAAAUUAGAGCAGUCGAUGUGGUAAGGAUAUAUGGAAAUAAAGAACACAAGACUAGGGUAGGAGGUGCCAUUCCGGCGGUCGGAAAUCCUCACCGAUGGUAUUUCAUGAAUGAGUCUGGCUGGAAACUAUAUUUUGGUUUUGGUUUCAAUUGAUUAUAUGAGCUGGGAUUUCUUUAUCUUGGAUUAUCAUUGAAUCUUAUUUUCAUACACUAUACUACUGUUCUUCUGAAUUGAGGAUAGGUUGUGAUGAUCUUUAAAAUUGGUUGUGUGUUUGUGUUUUUUAUGAAUAAUAGAUUACAGGUCAAGGAUGAAGUAGUAGGUUACAAGUAGUAGAAGCAAGGAUACAAGUUUGAUUUUCAAAGGAUUUCACCACCAAAAGCAACAUGAAUUUCGAUACCAGAAGUUGAGCACAGAGCAAAGCUAGAUUCAACCCCAUUUGCCAAUCCUAAAAAGCGCAAGUCGGUUUCGACUUAGGCUGUUGUGGCAAUUCAGACGUUUAAUACUUGAGUCUCUGAGUGCAAAUUUGCAUCAUGAGUUAGACUAUCAGCUACUAUGGUUACUAUGAUUGAAAAGUUGAACUUAGUUAUCAAGGAGCUCAUUAAAGAAAAGGAUGAAGAAAAAUAAAAAAGAAAGGCUAAAUGGAAUUAUUGCAGGGUUGUUGGCUGAAAAAAAAGACAAUGUGGAUAAAGAUGCUAUACUCGAUACGAUGUCACAAAUUGAAGUUGUGUUAACAAGUACAAUUUGAAGAUAGGCUAUGUUUCGAUAUUUAUCGUAUUAUGAUUUUUUAGUUAUUUGAUGUUUUAGCUGGUGUUUCUAUUAGAAUGUUUUAUAUGCUUUUGAUACAUAGAUGUUUUAUAUAAUUUUGGGUUUUCGUGAUCUUAUUAGACUUCUUUUA